rnacentral:rRNA from 1 species
GACGAACGCUGGCGGCGUGCUUAACACAUGCAAGUCGAGCGAGACUUUCUCUUCGGAGGGAUGCUCUAGCGGCGAACGGGUGAGUAACACGUGGGCAACCUGCCCCUAGCUCUGGGAUAAGCCCGAGAAAUCGGGUCUAAUACUGGAUAUUCACGACAUAGGGCAUCUUGUGUUGUGGAAAGGUUUUCUGGCUGGGGAUGGGCCCGCGGCCUAUCAGCUUGUUGGUGGGGNGAUGGCCUACCAAGGCGACGACGGGUAGCCGGCCUGAGAGGGCGACCGGCCACACUGGGACUGAGACACGGCCCAGACUCCUACGGGAGGCAGCAGUGGGGAAUAUUGCACAAUGGGCGGAAGCCUGAUGCAGCGACGCCGCGUGAGGGAUGACGGCCU